GGGAAUAUUGGACAAUGGAGGAAACUCUGAUCCAGUGACGCCGCGUGAAGGAAGAAGGUCUUCGGAUUGUAAACUUAUUUUGUCAGGGAAGAAAAAAAUGACUGUACCUGAAGAAAAAGCCCCGGCUAACUACGUGCCAGCAGCCGCGGUAAUACGUAGGGGGCAAGCGUUAUCCGGAUUUACUGGGUGUAAAGGGAGCGUAGACGGUUAUGCAAGUCUGGAGUGAAAGCCCGGGGCUCAACCCCGGGACUGCUUUGGAAACUGUAAAACUGGAGUGCAGGAGAGGCAGGCGGAAUUCCUAGUGUAGCGGUGAAAUGCGUAGAUAUUAGGAGGAACACCAGUGGCGAAGGCGGCCUGCUGGACUGUAACUGACGUUGAGGCUCGAAGGCGUGGGGAGCAAACAG
rnacentral:rRNA from 1 species